AUGGCUCAGGAUGAACGCUAGCGACAGGCCUAACACAUGCAAGUCGAGCGGCAGCACCUCGGGUGGCGAGCGGCGCACGGGUGAGUAACGCGUAUGUAACCUGCCCAUGAGUGGGGGAUAGCCCGGUGAAAACCGGAUUAAUACCCCAUGACACCAAUGUCUGACAUCACUUAUUGGUUAAAGAUUCAUUGCUCAUGGAUGGACAUGCGUUGGAUUAGCUGGUUGGCGGGGCAACGGCCCACCAAGGCGACGAUCCAUAGGGGUUCUGAGAGGAAGGUCCCCCACAUUGGUACUGAGACACGGACCAAACUCCUACGGGGGGCAGCAGUGAGGAAUAUUGGUCAAUGGGCGGAAGCCUGAACCAGCCAAGUCGCGUGAAGGAUGAAGGCAUUACGUGUUGUAAACUUCUUUAGCUGUGGAGAAAUAAGGUGGUCGAGACCACCGAUGCUAGUACACAGAGAAUAAGGAUCGGCUAACUCCGUGCCAGCCGCGGC
rnacentral:rRNA from 1 species